rnacentral:lncRNA from 1 species
UGAUGAACUAAUUCUUUAAUUAAGAUUUCAAUUGAACCUUUUAUGAUUAUAACUUAGUUAUUCUGUCAUUAUAAUUAUUUAUGUUGAAGUGGAUUGUUUAUCAUGUUUUGAUUUUAAUGAUUAAUUAUUUGGCCAAUAAUUAGUGUGUUACUCUAGAAGGAAUUAGGAGAGGAAUUCUAGGGUUAGAACUAGACAUGAUGACAUGUGACUCAAUUAUUUACACGGUAAAUA